CGAACGUCACAUCUCUACCGGCAGCCAGUCGACAUAGCCUCUACGGUACCCAGCAGAGGCUAAUCACUUGGACUCGUUGGAGCUUACAGGAAAGUGACCCUUUACAUUGUUCUUCGAGGAGGGGCGAAAAGGGGGUGGGGCCUCCCCGUUUCAGUGCAGGGCUGUGGUUGCUAGACAACAGGGCCUCUCACUCUGAUGGAGUGUCAACAAUGGUCAAAUGGCUAGGACUUGGAUCUGAUCAAUUUCCAGCAUCCUCCUCCUAACGAGGUGACCAUGCGGGGGUUCGAGUCCCCAUAAAAACGGAUGAAAGACGCCAUCAAGCACAAAGUCCACCGACCCGCAGAUCCUUGUGGGAAGUCAUGAGAGACACCUGUUAAAGAUGUCUGAGAGCUGGAUGAGGCAUGAAGAUACUGAUGCUCUUCAAAGACGCGCUGACAUUUUUCCAGCGGAAUGGAAGAACCGCCUUUGUCUUUCCUGCUGCUGUUUCCUGUCCCUGCCAACGUAGGAAAAGAGUUCCAAAGACAUCAGGCCGAGUGAUCUUUGACGACGGGAAUUCUUUGCAGUCUGAGAACGCUGGAGGUCUUCAGAUGACAGCUGAGGAAUGUGCACGCUUGCAUUGUCAUGGCGGCCAUGAUUGUGCCGAGUGUGGGCGCUCUUCAUCGUGACCUAUUAGCUGUGUAGUGCUCCUGUCAAAGCAAGAACCCUGCUGAUUUUUACUGGCAUAGGAGGAAAUAGUCAAAUACACCACUUAUACUUUGGUUUUCACUCAUUCUCACUCAGCUGCAGAACUGCUGAUGAUGUCAACGCGUGAACGCUAUUGAUUUUGAGCUAUAUCCAUUUGAUGAGGUCAAAGGUCGAGUCAAGUCACCUUCCUUGCCACCUUCAGAUAAUUUUCAACAGAUUUUUGCUCAAGCUUUGCGAGAUUAGUGCUGUUUCUUUUGUUAGAGCAAGAACCCUGUUGAUUUCAGGCAUUUGGUUGCUGAUAUCACAAGGAAAAUGAUCAUUUUUUUACGGCUCGACCAGUUCUUUAACCCAUUGUCU